rnacentral:rRNA from 1 species
GACGAACGCUGGCGGCGCGCUUAACACAUGCAAGUCGAACGGAAAGGCCUGCUUUCCCUUGUGGAUUGCGGGUACUCGAGUGGCGAACGGGUGAGUAACACGUGAGUGAUCUGCCCCCAACUUGGGUAUAAGCCUGGGAAACUGGGUCUAAUUCCCGAUAGGACUGCAGGGUGGUGCCUGUGGUGGAAAACGAUUUUCUAGUGGUUGGGGAUGAGCUCGCGGCCUAUCAGCUUGUUGGUGGGGUAAUGGCCUACCAAGGCGGCGACGGGUAGCCGGCCUGAGAGGGUGGACGGCCACAUUGGGACUGAGAUACGGCCCAGACUCCUGCGGGAGGCAGCAGUGGGGGAUAUUGCACAAUGGGCGGAAGCCUGAUGCAGCGACGCCGCGUGGGGGAUGACGGCCUUCGGGUUGUAAACUCCUUUGGACCGCGAGGAAGCCACCUGGUUGGAAGGGUGGUGACGGUAGUGGUAGAAGAAGCACCGGCUAACUACGUG